rnacentral:rRNA from 1 species
ACAGUUUGAUCAUGGCUCAGAUUGAACACUGGCGGCAGGCCUAACACAUGCAAGUCGAACGGUAACAGGAUUAGCUUGCUAAUCGCUGACGAGUGGCGGACGGGUGAGUAAUGCUUGGGAACUUGCCUUUGCGAGGGGGAUAACAAUUGGAAACGACUGCUAAUACCGCAUAAUGUCUACGGACCAAACGGGGCUUCGGCUCCGGCGCAAAGAGAGGCCCAAGUGAGAUUAGCUAGUUGGUAAGGUAAAGGCUUACCAAGGCAACGAUCUCUAGC